rnacentral:lncRNA from 1 species
UGGAUGUUUCUUGGCAUCGAUUCAACAACAUGGACCUAGCAACAAUGAGUCACGGUAGCAAACUGGUUCCGGAGAGAAUUAGUGUAAUGCAUUUCUAUUUUUCUGCAGUUGUUCACAGAUCUAUUUCUCUCCUCUUAAUUGUGAAUAACAUGCCAAAUUCGCCUUUAAUAGUAGAUAUUUAGAUAGUUUGGUGUAAAAGGACCCAUUGCACUCAUUUUUUGCAGCCAUAUAAUCGGUCCAUAUACAUGUUCUAGACCGUACAAACUAGCAUGGUGGUACUGCGAGAGUAGUUCUAAGAUAUCUUUGGGUCACCACAGCCGACCAAAAAUAUGGUGUUGAUUUUUUUUUAUUGUUGAUGUGUUAUAGAAGUGAGUUGUUUUGUUACUUCUGAGUAUCGCUGUGCUUUGUUAACUUUUGCUUCACAAUGAUGACAUGUGUGUUCAAUUUAUAAUUUAAUCUUUAAGCAAGAGGUGGAAAUUGAUCUGAGAUUCAGGAUUAUGCACCUGAUUAUUUAUACCUGUCCGAUCAUUCAUCGUCGUGUAUACCCACAUUUCGUUCCAUAUCAGAUUAUCCCUACGGGUUUGAGUAAUAUUUCUCAGAAUUGUGGUCGGGUUUAUAUGAGCAAGCUCAAGUUGCAGUGACUUAAACGCAGGUAAGAUACUAUCAAACAUUUUCUCUUCCAUUCCCAUUUAUUAUAAGGGCACUUUGGAAGUGAAUACAAUAAUUAUAUCUUCAACCUAGAAACAUUCCCAGUAAUUAUAUGUUGUCCUAUGAAAGUGUGUAUACAAUCAUCACAUAUCCAAUCUAGGAAUACGGUAUACAAAGUAUUCCUAGGCAUUAAUACAUGGCAUCUCCAGUCUAGGAACAUGGCGUACAAAGUAUUCUAGGGCGCUAAUACAUGGUAUAUGAUAGAUAAGUCAUUUUGUUUUAGCGUAUUUAUCAUUGUUGCAUGUGUCAUUUUUAUCCGAGAACUAUUUAGGUGUAAUUAAAUAAAGUGAGUUAGUAUCUCGUUCCCUAUUUCAGGUAUCAAAUUUUCCUUCACUACCGGUGCUACCCUGUAGUAAUUUGGCUAAAGGUUCCAAAAUUGGCAUGUCAGGCUGCCUCUCUAACAUGUUCAAAACUUAUUUUUUAAUAUAAGCUUGUUUAUAACUUUGUCUUGAAAUCUCUAAGCAUGGUCGAUACACUUAUGUUUACAUUUUAAAGUUCUUCCUAAACCCUUCAUCCCCGCUGAGGCAUGGGUUGACGUGAAGCAUGAGGCAAAUUUGAUUGCUCUUUAAUAAUACAGAUUACUUAGUGUGGGUUGCAAGGAUAUAUCACAAGUCCUCCUUGAUUACAUAUAUUAAUGUUUCCCCUUCACGUGUAUCAUGUCUUGUAGCAAACAACAAGAGCUCUGUAACAAUUCUUUGCAGUUGGAAGAAAUGCACACACAAGAAAGAAGGUAUUGCAAGCGAGGUGCGCAUAUGAAGAUUGGACAGAGAAGUAGUGAAGAAAGAUGAGCACAAUUUUUUCUUCAAAAAGAAGAAGAUGGAGACUAUCAUCAAACUUUUACCUAUUUGUGUUUCUGGUGGGAUGUACAUGCGGAGAAAUGGAAAUAGUCGUAUCCAAGAAUGGAGCAAAGUGGGAGAAAUACAUCGGAGUGUGUGAACAUUUUUUUUAUAGAAAGACCAAUUGGUUCAAUACUUGGUCCCGAAACUUCACUCUAUGAUUUUGUAAAUAAAUGACAUGGCAUCCAAUUAAGAGCAGUCUUGCUUUGUUUAAAAAAAAACCGGAGCAGUCUUACUAAUUACCGAAACCAUAUGAAUGGAAGUGUCGGACACAAACAUAUGAGAUAACGAGAAAACAAAUUGAGAACGCUGCUGAUUAAAUACUAAUGAAAAACAAGGCAUGGAAGAAGGCACUUGAUCAUCUGGAUGGGUAGAAGAUUAGAAAUUGGAAGAAUUGUUGCUGCUUACAACUCACAAACAAAAAUUUGAGUUCCUCUUUUCAGAUCCAAUCAACAAAAGGAAACAGACUGUGAGACAGAGAGAAGUACGAGGACGACCUUCACGAACUAAGGAACAAUCAGAAGAAUCGUAUAAAAGAGGAGAUUUGAUUUGAAGAGCAGGACGCUAGAUUGGAAUUUGGAAACAUGUACUAUGUUCUUCCGCUAAUCUCGCCAACAGCCAAAAUCGCAAUUAGACGAAGCAAGUGCUCCGCCGUUAAUCUAGCUGAAUCGUUACCAAAUCGAGGGCAAGAAGGGAUAGAGGCCGAGGAGAAUGUGUGUUCCGUAUGCUGCUUUGCUGCCUGCGGCAAGCCACAAUAACUGAUCGAUCUGUAUUCUGUACAUGGGCUAAACAUCCCACGCAUCGGGGGCCCCUUCGUGCUCGGGGGCCCGGGGCGGCCGCCCCUUCCGCCCCCCCUCAGGGCCGGCCCUGAGUGGACCGAGAAUAAAGAGGACGAAGGAAUAGCAAAGUUUGUCUUGUUGGUUAGCUGUCAGGACAAAUACAACGAAAGAAACAUUGUUAUGUUGUCCCGUGACAACGCACGGGUAUUUAACUAGUGGAAAGAUAAUUGGAUCCCGCGGAAUGAGAUGAUGACGCCCUACGGAUGUUUAGCCAACAAUCCGCCAUUAAUGGUGACGCUAUGUCCGCAGCUUGGAACUUUCAGCGACUUCGGGAGGUAUUUCUGCACAUUCAUAUACCAUCGAUAUUGAGCAUUCCUCUUUGUACGAGGAAUAUACAUGAUACAUGGGCAUGGAACUUUGAAAGGAAAGUCAUCUUCUCGGUUAGAUUCGCUUACAGAAUGCUGAGAACUAUCAAGCAGAGGAGAGAGGCAUGGCUGGAGGGGACAACUGGAGCAUCAAACACAAAUUGUGAAUCGGAAUCCAGGAAGAAGCAAUGGAAUGUUCAAGUACCAGGGAAAAUUAGAAUGUUCUUGUUGUUGUUGCCGCGGCCUCCUCCCGUGCUGCCCACUGCGCCGCCGUCAGCAGCAGCUGUUCGCCGCCACGCUCGCCGCCGUCUUGUCCACGACGCUGAACCCGCUCGUCAAAUGCGCGCAGCCGUCCGAAUGCCUCGUCGAACGCCAUGGUCGUCACAUCGCAAAACUGCUCGAUGCCGGCGACGACGGGGAACAGCCGAUCCGGGACGAUGUCCAACAGCUUCUUCACGAGCACCGCGUCGCCCAACGUCUCUCCUAGGCUCGCGAACCGCGCCGUCAUCCCUGCCAGCCUCCCGGCGUACGCGUCCAGCGCCUCGCCGUCCGUCAUCUUCAGGCGGUCAAAGUCCCCGCGCAGCGUCGCCAACCUCGCCGUGCGGACACGAUCGGCGCCGACGAACCUCACCUUCAAGGAGUCCCAUACCUCUUUGGCGGUGAGCUUCGUCGCCACCUGCAGCAGCACGUCCUCCGGCAGCGUUCCAAGGAGCAUCACGCGCGCUGCCUUGUCCUUCUUGGUGUUCACCACCGCGUCGCCCGGUGCCACCGCCUCCCAUACGGUGUGGACGUCGAGGAUCGCCUGCGCCCUGAUCGCCCACACCGUGUAGUUGUCCGACGUGAGCAUCGGCAUCGCCAUCAACACCGAUCCGCUCGCGCCGCCGCCGUGUGGGACGAGCGCCAUGAUCCCCGAUGAUCUCUUGAACCGAAGCUCUCUAUACCAAUUGUUGUUGCCGCGGCCUUCUCCCUCCUCAUCGGAGCUCUACCCCUCUCACUCUAUAUGCUUGUGAAAGAAGAAGGGCACAAAGACAAGAAGUAUUUUCCUGGCGCCCCACUCGCCGCACGAACGGCGUAUUGUUUUCCCUUAAGCACCAACUCCCUGCACAGCGAGCUACAACAAACGGGAUUUGUACACGGGCAUGCAUGCAGCUGGACGCAGCACCCACGCAACGCCCGCUGUCGAGCUCUACGCGCACGUAGCGAUCUCCUGGAGACUCGGCCGCCCGCCGCGCAUGCACGUCAACGGAACGCAGCUGGUUCCAGCGCCUGGCUCGGCCACAUCCCGCGCGUCCGUCUAACCAACUCACACAAGUACACACGCUCGCCAUGAGCCUGACGCGUCUUGCACACGCACGCACGCGCACCCGACGCGGUCGCCGUGGGUUAUUGCCAACACUUGUGGCGCCUGGCCAAACAUUCACUCCCGACAAAUGACGUGCGGGACCAUCAUCACAUGGCAACGUCAAGCGCGUGCGGGUAUGCGGUGCCGAGGACUCCUGUCAGCAUUCGCUGCUUCAGUGCACAAUGUCCAGAUGCAUAUGGGCUUUGGGGGUUGAAGCAAUAGUGGAUCAGCUAACAGCGACAAUGGAACCAAGUGCUAAACAAUGGCUAUUAUCUUUGAUGAACUCAUUAUGACAUGCAGAUUUUGUGAAGGUGGUCACCCUAUGGGCAACUUGGUACACAAGGCGGAGAGCGAUGCAUGAGGGGUGUUUUCAGAGCCCUCACUCGACGCAUGGCUUCAUUGGUAGGUUCGUCUCUGAACUGGAUAUAAUACAGCAAAUCACACCAAGGACAGUCAUGUCAGGGUCUACCCUAGCUCGCUCCCGCUCUACCUCGCGCUCACGACGUGCCUGUGGCUCGAACCAGCAGAAGGAAGGAGGAAGAUGGAGAUAGACACGGUAGACGCUAGGGUUUCUCGGCGCACGAACGCCGCCGCCGCGCGAACGGCUUGCUGUAUUCCUCGAGCUCGAACUCGAUGUCCCAACGCCAUUACAACGAUGCCAGCCACAACUUUAUACCCGAGCCAACGCACACGCACCCACGCCUCCACUCGCUCGCCUCGCGAUCCGCCUGCUCCGUGCGCCCACGACGCGCUCCGCCGCGCCCGGUCCACGCACAGGUUCACGGAUCGCCUCGUGCAGCUCGCCAACAACACCUUCUUACACUCACGCCUACGGUGCAUGUGUGCCCGGACACCCCCGUGCACCACAUGCGUCUACACACGCACACCUACGUCGCGGUCCCGACGUGCCCGACACGUCCUGCACGCGCCCAUACACAUGCUCGACGCGUUCAACUCGUUGCCGCGGCUUAUUACGCGCAACAUUCACCCCCUAAGCCAUGGCCUAGAGGAGCCCGGCGUUCUCGACGUCCAUGUCUGCCCAGUAGAGCUUGCUCCGCCGCCGCCCCCUUCCUCCGCUGAGGGCAUUCCCUCUUGAAGUGGCCGCGCUCGUUGCAGUGGUAGCGGCGUCCGCGUCGGUUCCCACGGACGCUUGACGCUACGCUCUUGCCGUCGUCGUCGUCGUCCCGCGCUCCGCCUUGCCGGCGCUCCCGCGCUCGCCAUUGCUCCACCGUGAGCAUGAGUUGGCCGUCCGCCCUCUCACCACCCGCUUGUCCGCAUCAUCGUAGCCGCUCGUCGAAGGCCUUCAGACGACCCAGCGCCUCCUCGAAGGCCAUGGUGGAGACGUCACAAAACUGUUUAAUUCCGGUUACCGCCGCGUAUAGACGGUCCGGCACGGAGUCGAGCAGCUUCUUCACCAGCACGUCGUCCUCAAACGUCGAUCCGAGCCCCGCGAAGCGUGCCGCCAUGCCACCGAGCUAUGCAAACGAGUCCAGCAUGUCGUCCUCCGCCAUGCGCAAGAGCUCGAACUCUCCCCCGAGAGUGCCUAGCCGCGCCGCCCGGACUCGGUCUGCUCCGACGAACCACGCCUUCAGACUGGCCCAGACCUCUGCCGCCGUCUUCUUGGACGAUACCUGCAGGAGGAGAUCCUAUGCCAGCGCCCCGAGCAGAUACGCCCGCGCCGACUUGUCCUUUUUGGCGAUCACCGCCGCCGUCGUGUCCUCCGGCAGCACCACCGCCGCCUACAGCCCAGCCGCGUCGAGGUUGGCCUCGACCUUGAUUGCCCACGUGGUGUAGUUAUCACCAGUAAGCAUCGGGACUGGCGUUGACAGCGAGGUCCCCGACCCGCCGCCGUAGGGGACGAGUGCCAUCGCCGGCGAGCUUCUCCCUCACCUCUCGCUCUGAUACCAAUUGUCAGGGUCUACCCUAGCUCGCUCCCGCUCUACCUCGCGCUCACGACGUGCCUGUGGCUCGAAUCAGCAAAAGGGAGGAAGAUGGAGAUAGACGUGGUAGACGCUAGGGUUUCCCGGCGCACGAACGUCGCCACCGCGCGAAGGCUUGCUGUAUUCCUCGAGCUCGAACUUGAUGUCCCAACGCCAUUACAACGAUGCCAGCCACGGCUUUAUGCCCGGGCCAGCUCACUGGGAACACACCCACGCCUCCACUCGCUCGCCUCGCGAUCUGCCCGCUGCGCGCGCCAACGACACGCUCCGCCGCGCCCGGUCCAUGCACGGGUUCAUAGAUCGCCUCCCGCGAUCACCGCGCAGCUCGCCAACAGCACCUUCCUACACUCAGGCCUACGGUGCAUGCGUGCCCGGACACCCCCUGCACCACACGCGCCUACACACGCACACCUACGUCGCGGUCCCGACACGCCCGAUACGUCCAGCGCGCGCCCAUACACGUGCUCGACGCGUCCGACUCGUCGCCGCGGCUUAAUACGCGCAACAAGUCACGGGCGUCAAUGGCAACUCCAAACGGUCCAGAGAAGGCCACGACCGAGAGCUCCACCUCAAGGUUUUGCCAAAAUUCAUGUAGACGCCGGCCUAUCCAACACCAGGGGCUCGGCUUCUGCAGUAUGUCAAGAUGAACACGGAAACUACCUGGGGAGUUCUUCUCUUGUUAUGUAUGGCAACCAAAGUGCAGCAACACUUGAAGCUCUCGCAUGACGGGAGGCACUAGCUCUAGUGGAAGAAUUGGGACUGCAAAGAAUCAUCAUAUCAUGGGAUGCCAAACAGGUGGUAGAGGACUUGGAGAGCAACAUCCGAGGCCUCUAGCUAUGUUGCUAUUAUCUCUGAAGUUAGAGCAAGAGCAGAAAAAAUCACUUGUAAUUUUAUUUUCGAGGGUCGUUCAGUUAAUUUAGAAGCUCACAAACUAGCUAGAUAUUCCCUUUCAUUAGAUCAGGGGCACUACAUGUGGCUCAUUCAACCCCAUGAUGCAAAUUGUAUCCCACUUUCUGUGGAUUACGAUGAAUAAAGCUCUGCCUACCCCUAAAGAAAUGAUAGGCAAGGAAGUGUGUGCUCACAACUCACAAGAUCCCCUGUCGUGCCCGGCCUCCUCUGCAAAAUCUACUCUUGCUCUCAAGGUGGGAUAUGCCCUCUCGUCCGCAUGGAAUCUCUCCUCAUCCUGCCUUGUCUGUAGGGUGUGGAUCGCUUGACCGGACGGCUUCCUUUCGAUGCCCCGACGCGAACGACGACAAGGAUGCGUCUUGGUCCUCCAUGGAAGAUAUGAAUCUCACAUCUUUGCUUCCUGAUGCCUGCAGUAUCUCUCUCUCUCUUUUUCUGAGCAUACAGUGGGAUCGUUAGUCCGCUGCAAUGUGCACUGGGGGCCGGUCCUGAAAUUUGAUGGGCCUAUGGCGGUUCAGGAAAUUAGUGGAUUUUAUUCAAACAAAGUUUUGGUGUAAUGGAAUAUAAUAGAGUUAGGCGUUUUGGAGCUCGGGCUGCAUGGAGCCCUCUUUCUGAAAACCCUAAAAUUCAUCAAAAUUCGUAUUUUUAUAUUUCAAAAAAAUCUAAAAAUAAAUAUGGAUAUACAUGGAGACAUAGCACACAUGUGUGUAAAUUUUUAGAAAAAAAUACGUUGAAACGAGAUCUAUUCAAAAAAGAGAAAUUUGUGGCAUUUUAACACAUGAUACUAUUCAUCCCAAAAGUUCAUGAAUUUGUUUUUUUUUUUGCACAGAUUGCAUAUUAAUAUAUCUCAUCCUAAAUUUUUGCACACAUAUACAUUUCAUCCUUGUGUAUCUGCAUAUUCGUUUUCAGAUUUUCUUUGAAACAGAAAAUUUGAAUUUUGAAUGUUUCAAAAAGAAAGGGUGCCAUGGAGCCCGAGCUCCAAAUGGCAUUUUUGAAUAUAAUAUCAGUACAAUUUUUCAAGAGUCAAAGUUCUUAUAUUCUUUGAAAACAUGAGAGUCUACGUUUUUGGUCCAUCAAAAUCCAAAUAGUAACGUUUUGCAUAGAUAAGCCCACCUUAGGAAUAUGCAGGGACGAAUUUAGGGGGGGGGGGGGGCUGGACUCCCCCUAACAAAUUGAUUCUUCUAUUAUAAUUAUGGUUAUUGCAGCCAAUUUUUUUACUUCAUAUGAACUUUGUUCCCUCCAUGAACAAACUUGCUCCCUCUAUGCAUGAAUGCUGGCUCCGUCCCUGAAAAUAUGAAAACCUAAACUAUUCGUACUGAGGCCAGUCCGAAUUGAAAAUGAACGCCUCGGCAAAACCGGGAUGAGAAACAAAAAGAAAUAUCUAUAAUGACGCAUGCACACCUCGCCAAAAUUUUACAGAAAUAAAUGAUUUGUCAUCCUAUACGGAAAGGGAGACCUAGCUAUUAAGAUUGACAGCAUUCAAUCGUGUUGUGAUUGUGUAAACACUGAGGCCACAGUCGACGAGAGUGAAAAAAAAGAAUAACUAGAAACACAGAUGAGAUGCCAUGUAAACAAGAAGCUAUUGAAGUCUUGAGUCGUGCCUAUUAGGUUCGGCAGUGUGCUUUCAUUCGCUAGUAUAGUAUCAUAACACGAUUGGAUAAUCAGUCUUUUGCCCGACCGGUCGUAGACCUUUCAUAAGAAAAAAAUGUCUUUUAGUUGAGCCACAGCCAGAUUAGCGUUACAAGGUAACCGGAAUAACACCCCAUUGCACGAAAUGACACUUUUGACAACAAGAGCCUUGCUAGCAGCUGCAUUUGGCAUGCACCAACGGUCAUCUAGUAUGUUUUAGGGAGAGUGUGUUGCUUGGAUUCCUGGUGGUUACAUUAUUCCUGUGUCUGGAAAUAAUGUUUGAGCAGUAUGUUUUUCUAACACGAUAGCUAGGUUUGGCAUGUGUAGGUGAUGGUUAGCAGCGUUUGUGCCUAUCCGUCAAAUCAGAGAAAUACAAGGAAAGAAGAAACCGUGUUUGAAUUAAAUUCGUGUGUCUACACCUGUAUUUGGCUUGCUACACGUUCUUAUGUUCUGUGGGCUAAAGUCCAACUCGUGUAGACCUCACCCCAAAGUUUUCAUUUGGUUUUCUUUAUCCUUGGCAUUGGUGGUUGUGUUCGCAAUGAAGCGCGCAUUGUGUUUACCUUGCUAGUCUUUUGGUAGCCUUAAAAAUAAGCCUUCCCACGAAAAAAUGAAAAAAAUAAGCCGUCUCCUUCUCAUCUUUUCUCACAAGCUGUUCUUAUAAUUCAUUGGGGCUUUCAAACUAAUUAUGGAUAACUAAUUAAAAAUUUCGAAAAACUUAGAAACCUGUUACCUUUUAAGCCGGGGAGAGGCAGCUGAUUUUUUAAGCCGUCCAAAAAAACAGACCAUAAUUUAUAUGGUUCCAUAUGACGAUUGUUAUUUUAUUUAUUCCCCCCCAUUUUUGGUAAGUGGAUUGUUAUAUUUUGAUAUUGAAAUGACAAUGAUGUGCUUUAAAAAUAUGACAGUUGCGUAUAACCAUGAUAAAGUGUCAUCCAAAAAAAGUACAAAUAUCUUCACGUCAUUUCUCAUGAAAUCAAAGUAAGAAAGAGACCUGCUGCUCUCACGAACCUACCUUUAGAGACUUGUUAACAUCAUAAAAAAUCUGAUAAAUAAAAUAUUCAUGUAGUGCCUACACGUGCUACUCUGAAUAGCGACCAAUCAUACAUAUCCAUUAACUACGCGGCCUAUUGGUAUUUAUUUAGGACAGUAAAAGUGCACCUAAUCCCAUGCCUCAUAUGAAAUCAGCAACCAGCGGCAUUCUUUUUCAUGAUUUAGCAAUUUUUGGCCAUCCGAUCUCCAUUAGGCUACUUAUAAUGGGGAGUAUCAUGUACUAGUAUCAUGCAUAUGAUACUAUUGUAUGAUACUAUCUUCAUAGUGCAUAAUAUCAUAACUAGUAUCAUAGAUAGUCUCAUUUAUUGACAUGCAAGACACAUAGUAGCAUAACAUUUAACAUGAUACGGUAUCUACUUAUGUUACUCUAACCCUCUUUUUUUUUUUAAUUAUGUACCACGUUAGCAUGUUUGCUAGUUCCAAGAAUAUGAUACUAGCUAUGGUACCUUCACUAUGGCCAGCCUUAGGCUGGCCAUAGUGAAGAGUAUCAUAUAGUAGUAUCAUGCAUAUGAUAUUAUUGUAUGGUAACAUAAACUAGUAUCAUAGAUGACCUUAUUUAUUGACAUACAUGACACAUAGUAGCAUAGCAUUUAACAUGUUACGGUAUCUACCUAUGUUACUCUAACCCUUUCUUUCUUCUUUAAUUGUCUGCCACAUCAGCAUGUUUGCUAAUCCCAAUUAUAUGAUACUACCUAAAUUACUCCCACUAUGGCCAUCCUUAGCGUGCCGUUCCCCUCGUCUUACAGCAAGUGGGACAUCUGUCCUAUAAAACAUGUCGGUCGUCAUUGAUUGGAUUGCUAACGCCAUGAAAUACUCACUUCUAUAAUUUGUUAGUUUACUCUCGCUUUUUCCUAGUCGGUUGAGAAAUAGUAAUUUUUUAACACCGCUACAAUACAAUGUCAGAUAUUCUAACAUGACAAAUCGAACGUAUCUUAUGGUAAAUAACUUGUCACGAGGCUGCCAAUUUCCUUUAUCAAGUAUGAAUUUUUUUGGCAUGUUCAACAUUUUUGCCAGGAUUUGUCAUGCUUGCUGAAGGGAAUUGUCAUGCUCACGACAUGUAAUUGGCCAUAAAAAUAUAUUCAAUUAAAUUCGGAAAAAUGUGAAAAUCAGUGUUAACUCUAGGACUUGAACCCUCAUGGAGGGAGGAUAUCACUAUCAUCCUAACCAUCCAACCAGAGAUUGGUUUACAUAAAACUCCCGUUAAAAAUGACAUAAGUAGUCAGAAUCAGCAUUAAAAGGUUGCCAGUAUUAAUACAUUUAUUGUUUUAAUUAUUCACAGAGACCAAUCAGCACAGAGACCAAUCAGCUUGAAGCCACCGUCUAGGCAACACAUGUUGCUACUCCUAUCCUUUGAUGAAGGUGUGCCGAAUAUCCGGGUCAAAUACCAAACAGAUAACGCACCAAAUCCUAACAUAUGUCUUUCGUCUAAUAUCAAGGGUGACAUUGAACAAAACCUCUAGGAUCCUCUAAAGUGAUAUUUUUCUUCUUUCUUCUCCUCUUACUUUGUACCACUAAAGAAGAAUUUCCAUUAAGUCUGGGACAACGUAGAGGCUGGAUAUUGCAGGGACACCUGACUUAGCUGUGAUUCUUUCUCUCCCAUAUUAAAAAUAGCUUCCUCUUUGAUUUCAUUUUUGCUUAAUGGCAUAAGGUUUAUCUAACUAUUUUGGGGUCAAGUCUAUGAUGCAAAGGCCAGAAGAAAUAAAGUGUUCCCUUAUCACAACCUCCCAACUUAUAUGGACUAAUGGUGGGUGAUGUAUAAAAUGGCUGAUUUGAAAAUAAACUUAACAAUUUCCCACAUAACUCAUAGAGAUCGAAACAGUUUAAAAGGGAAAGGACUUCUAGCAAACUAACAGCACUUUAUAGUAUAUAUAUGUGCGUAAAAUUUAACACGUUAGUUACUAAUUUAAUUUGUAUAUGCUAUGUCGUUUUCGGUAUCCGCGCACACUUGUAUGUAUAAAAAGCCGACUUGUGUUCUGCUUCAGAAAACUCCAUUAAGCGCCGCAUUGGACCAGCCUAGAGCGCUGUUGUGUUGUGGACGACCCCAAUGGCCGUGAGGAUCUUGGUAGUCUUGCUUAUCUGUCUGUUCGUGGGACUAACGGCACAUGGGAAGGAAGCCCUGCCGGUUGUGCCGGGGAUCAUGUUCUUCGGCGACUCGUUGCUCAGCAUAGGUAGCAAUAAUUAUAUAAAAACCGUGGUGAAAGCAAACGUGGCUCCCUACGGCAGGGACUUCAAAGACCAUGUGGCUACAGGGAGGUUUAGCAAUGGAAAAGUUCUUAGCGAUUUCAUAGGUUGGUCACAAUCUUAUUUGUUUUCUAUGGAAUUAUUUGUUUGUAUUUGUAUCGAUGUGUUUGACGUUUCGCAAGAACUCUUGGCAGUGUUAAUGACAUGUAUAUCUUGUGUUACAACUUGCAUGGUACGUGGCAGGCGAAAAGCUAGGGUUUGAUGGGUCUCCUCCUGCAUACCUCAGCCCGGAGGCAUCUCGACUGAAUCUUUUGAUUGGAGCCAACUUUGCAUCAGCUGGAUCGGGCUACUACGAUGACACAGCACGUAUAUAUGUAAGUACAGUACCAUACUUUGGAGUAUAUGUGUAUGUAUGUUGAGUCGAUCCAUCACGUACGUAUGUUUUAUCAAAUUGUGUAAGGCAGCAUGUCACCCCUUUGUCCCAACAACUGGACUACUUCAAAGAGUACCAAUCGAAGCUGGCAGUGGUUGCUGGGAGCAACCAGGUUCAGACCAUCAUCUCAGACUCACUCUACAUUAUUAGCGCUGCUUCAAAUGACUUCGGCUUCAACUACUACAUCAACCCUUUGCUCUUCUUGAGAGAGAACACGGACCAGUUCGGUGAUCGCCUCAUCCACAUCUUUAACAACACCGUGACGGUGAGCUAGAUCAAACCUGCAGCUUCCUCCUCUAUCAACAAGGAUCACAUGAUUCAUACCAUAACUUUGGUGUAGAAAAUGGAUGAUUAAUAGGUACUACUAACAUUUUGCCAUUGUAUUGACUGUAGCAACUUUAUACUUUGGGAGCACGGCGUGUCGGUGUUUUCUCGAUAGCACCGCUGGGGUGUGCUCCCUUGGCGAUCACGGUGUUUGGCCUUGGGAGAAGUGGGUGCGUGCCGAGCCUUGAUGACGACGCGCGGAGGUUUAACAGGAAGUUGGGUGCAGCUGUUGACUCACUCUCGACGCGGUACCAUGAUCUCAAGAUUGCGGUCCUGGACAUAUACACACCUUGGCACAGCCUUGCCACCUCUCCUGGGUCACAUGGUAAGAUAGAUAGAUAGAUAGGCUAGUCAGCCAUGGCAAUGCGAAAGUCCUAUUCUACUCCCGAGCUCAUUGAGCUCUGAACAGUAAAUUUGACAAAAAAUGAAAAUAUAUUAAAAAAAUUGUUGUUUUUUGAGCGCAAACAUUGACGGAAUUUCUGGAUGUUUGCAAAAUUUUGCCGUAUCCACAUUCGUGAAAGUAGUGGCAAAAAAUAAGAAAAUCAGCACUCAGAAAUGAUUUUGAAAAUAGCGCUUUUGGAACACUUUUUUUUUGCCACGGCUUCCGCAAAUGUUCUUUCAUGAUGAAAUUUUACAAGCAUCCAGAAAUUUGUCAAUGUUUUCCACAAGAAAAAACAGAAAUGUUUCAAAAAAUAUUCAAUUUCUUUCGGAAUUUACUGUUUACCUGAGCUCAUUUGAACUCUGGGUGAGAAACAUAACGUCCCUGGCAAGGUUUUUUCUUGCCCCAUCAUCCGUGCAAGUUUUUUUCCCAUUAAUUCCAGCUAAAAUUGUGUCGGUUUAUAUACGAUAUGUCAGGGUUCAUUGAGGCGAGGCACGGAUGUUGUGGUACUGGAUUAGUGGAGUUAACAUCGUUUCUUUGCAACCCUUUCUCCAUUGGGACAUGUCCAAACGCAACGACAUACGUGCAGUGGGACGCCGUCCAUCCGUCGGAGGCGGCGAACAAAGUGAUCGCAGAUUAUCUGGCCAAGGGAAUCAACAAGCUGCUUAUGUAAGCCACUUUGUGGACGACCUAUUGCUAUAGUGAUGUACUCCCUCCGUUCCUAAAUAUAAGUCUUUUAAGCAAUUUCACUACGGGUCUACAUACAAAACAAAAUGAUUGAAUCUACACUUUAAAUUAUGUCUAUAUACAUCCAUAUGUAGUCUACUAGUGAAACAUCUAGAAAGACUUAUAUUUAGGAACGGAGGGAGUACGUAGCAUUAUGUUUCCUAUGGACUAUGGAUUACCGAAUAGUAGUAUAUAUGUCUCUAUAAUAAAUAAAGAGUUAAAUACAUUACGGGCGUCUUAACUUGUCAUGUACGGUGAAUUUGGUAUCUAAAGUUGUAAAAUACACAAAAAUGGUGGUUUAACUUGUUCGGCCAUGCAAAUACGGUGCCUCCUAUCUUAUUCGAGUGUACUCCUUGUCCGUGUGGCGUGCCAGCAUGGCGGCGGCCCACGAGUCAGUGGCCAGAAGUGAACGAGUAUUUUUUUAUUUUUGUUGGGAUAAAAUUUUUAAGCUGGGACAUCCUGCUUAAUGCAAUAAAAUGCUGGUCACCGGACCAAACUAACUUAUACGUAGUAGUAUUAGCUAGAAAUGUAUGCACACCAAUUCGACGUAUGGUUCUGCAAUUCUUCAAUACCUUUUUUAUAGAAAAAAUCAAGAUCUUGUUUAGUUUUCAUGAUAUGUAAUUUUUACCAAAUAAAAAAUACAAAAAUUNNNNNNNNNNNGGGCAUUAUUGUGUAUUUUAAAUAUCUAUUCUAUUUUCAUUAUUGUGUACUUUAAAGAGGUUAAUAUGAACGUUUUCAAAAAUUUAUGUGGAUUUAGACAGUUCAACGUAUAUUGAAAAUUGUUGUGUAAAUUUAUGUAUCUUCAUGCAGAACCACAAGCACGGACAGUUAGUGUGUAUCUUCAUUGUAUUACUAUAUUUUUAAAAUACACAAUUACAGAAAAAUUGACAAACAUCUUUCAAAUAUAAGUUUAUAAAGGUAUUAAAAUAUCUUAAAGGUGUUUGUAGAAAUGCAAGAACAAUUUUACAAAAUAACAUUUCCAAUGCACGUUGAACAUUUAUAAAAAUAUAUGUUGUCAUUUUUUUGAACGCAUGACAAACAUCUUUCAAAUAUAAGUUUAUAAUUUAAUAAUACCCGUGAAACAUGUUUCAAAAGCAUUUUUUUUCAAAUGCACCAGGGCAUUCCCUAAAUCUCCCUUGAUACUAAAAUGUUUAAGAAGUAAAUUAUCUCAUUUAUUCAUCAAAUGAUGUCUUGUCUGUUGGUUAGCAGAGGUCCCUCGGUGAAUAAUAUAACCACGAGGCACGACACCACGUGAUGCCUAAAAUGGAGAAAUAAUGUUUACAUUUUUUAGAGGGUGAGAUAAAUAAAUUCGUAGGAAAAUUCCAACUAGAUGCUCUAAAUAAACAUAAAAUUUUGCUUGGUUUAUCGGCUAGAUUGCAAGUGUGGCACACGUGAGCUCCUAGCUUCGAAACUUCAAAUCCCUUUUUUCUUUUUUCUUUCUCCUUAAUAUCUCGCACGACAUCAUUAUUAUAAAUUGUAUUGUAUCUACGAUUUGCACAUACAGUCGUGCUUGGUGUAGCUGAUAUGUGGGACCCAAACCUGACAGGUUGGACCCAUUAGUAUGCAUCCGUAUGUGAUAAAAUUAUGAGUAAAUAAAUAAAAUGUGAGGGGGUUGGAUGUAAAAAUGCUCCCGAUCACUGACAUGCGGGCCGCCAUCAUACUGGCUCGCCAUGCGGGCAAGGGAUAUCCUUGGAUACUGUAUGAGGCACCGUAUUUGCACAACCGAACAAGUUAGAGCAUCACCUUUAUGAUUUUUUUAAUUUUAUGCAUUAAACUGACCGGACAUGAGAAGUUAAGGCACCCGUGGUGUAUUUAACCCAUAAAUAAACUGUGGGAUUCACGUUGGGUCCACAAAUAAAAAUAUUACUACUAGCAAAUACUUAAUUAAUAACCUAAAUAAAUAUACAACUCUGUGUGUUAGAUAUAGCAGUAUUUGAUUUCCUCAAAUAAAAUAUUUCCUCCGUGUUAAAAUGUGUGACUCAAUUUCGUAUUAACUUUGUAUUAAAGUUAGUUAGUACAAAAUUAAGUCAUUUAUUUCGAGAAACACUACAAGGAAUUUGUUCAAUCAUGACGCCCCAUUUUGGUCACUGGAAGGUCAUUGUUAUUGUUUUAUGACCAUGUUAUGACCAAAUUUGGGAGGUCAACAGUUGGUCGUCAAGAAUGAAGAAAGCUGACCUUUAUGAUAUUUUGGUCAUUAGAUCUACGACGAAAAUGUUUUGGUCGUUAAACGUAUGACCACAAUUUUGGUCAUGGCCAUGUGCCUAAACCACGUAGGAUCUUACAUGGCAAGAUGAUGUGGCACAGGUGAACCACGUAGGAUCUGACGUGUCAUGCUGAAGUGUCGCUUGUGGUGACGUGGAAUCCACAUGUGAUCUGACAUGGCAUGAUUUUCCCGGUCACUUCUACAUGGGCCAGGCCUAAUAUUUUGGCGCCAUAACCAUUUCGGCCCAAUUAUUAGGUUCAAGCCCAUUUGUUUUUACGGCCACAAUCUGUUCAACACAAUUAUUUGAUCAAAUAGUGUCCAUAAUCUAUUCGAACAAAUAAUUUGGUUUAAAUAGUCCAGUUGAAUUAGUUGUAGACCUUAAUUUGCAAUGUUCUGGUACACAAAAGCACAUUUCUAAGAUAGACCCAUCAACCAAUUAUAUAUGAACAAUUUUUUUACAAUUACAUCGUAUCACAAAAAAUACAUUAAUUUACAAUCAGCCUGGCAUGUCCCAAUGAUCAUGUUCUUGGUGAAAUCACAGUGUCAAUGACUCUGCGGGAGUACUUGGUGGUCUUCAAACUUCUAAGAGUAUUUGGACCUAUUGGAGCUGAAAACUACCUGCACAAACAAAAUUAAGGGUGCUGAAAAGAAUUAACAAACUCAAUACUAAUGAAUGAAUUAUAGUGAUAAUUUAAAAUAAUAACAAAACUAAACCAUUGGUAAUUAAACAAUCUCGUAUACAACUCACAGUCAAGCAGGACUAAAACCUGAAACUAAAUAAUAGAUAAAAACUAGACUACUUCAUGUUAUUCUCAACCAAGUCAAAAGAAAUAGAACUGUUAAUUCAAUCCAACUUUUUAGAUUUAAUUUGCUUAAAUGACAGAUUAAACGUUGAAAAGCAAGUACUAAAUCUGAAUAACAGGUAGAAAUAGAUCUACAUCCAAAUUUGUUUUAUUACUGAAUCAUAUUUUGUUGCAUAUCUAUUUUGGCUCCAUAAGGACAUCAACCUGACCUUGCAUGCUAGAAGCUGAUCUACUCUUGGACCAUGCACUUGAUAUCAACCAGAAAGCUUGGCACACGUGUCACAUAGGCUUGAAGAUUGGAUAAAAUUAGUGCUCAUAUUUUUAGGUUCUAAGUUGGAGAUGGAGCUGCUGCAAUGCUGACCCUGACCCUGGUCUUUGGUGAUUUAUGUUCUUUGCCUUAUUUGAUGAUGAUAAUUAUAUAUGUAUCUCACCUAUAUUUCUCUCCAUAACAACCCUGUCUGUGUUGAUAAUUUUUGUCUGGUGGCUGGAGAUAUGGGGAUCAAAGAUGAUUCAGUGACUCGAAGUAAUACCAAAAAAAUAACUCCAACAGUAAAAAAUCUUUCUUCCAAAUAAGUAGUAAAAAGUAGCUAAUCGCGUAUAAAUGGAUCCUCACAAAUUCUUCUAACGUUCAUUUUGCAUUAUUUAUUUUUUCCUUUCAUAUAUACUGUCAUGCAUAUCUCACACCCACCUUAAAAAGGAGUACCAAAUCAAGGUGAAGGACUGGGGGUGGGUGCUAUACUGUUUGCAGCUAACCUGGGGGCUUACAUAUAUGUUCAAUAAACUAAGGAGACGAUCAUGUUGUAAAAACUAGCACCCUGGACGCAAGAGAGAAAUUGUGAAGACUUCUUCAAAUAAUAAUAAUAGUGAUGCACGACAAGUGGGAAUUAACCUUCUUUCAAAAUAGUCAAAGUAUCAUGUGUAAGUAUAACGUGGAUGCCAUGAAGAACUGUGUUCAUAUAUAGGAAGGUGGAUCAUGUGAUAGCACAACAUUACUGUGAUAGGUAGUAUAAAGACAAAAUAAGAAAGUGUGCAUGUUAUUCUUAAAAACAUGCAAUGAAACUUAAGUUAGUACUUAAAGUUUAGCAAGAAAUCUUCGGGGGAAUAUAUGUCUCAGUAUCUGCUCAUAUAAUAAGUAAGAGAGUGUACAACUGUACAUUGCUACUUUUAAGUGUGUUUUUGUUCACAUGAUUUAUAAACUAAUCAGACAUUCGUAUCAAAGAGCCUGGUACUGACAUAAAUUUUCUAUACCAAUCUAGGAAGCUUGAUGGUUAGUGCAUGGUGCAUUUAUGCUCACCACAUUUUUCUCAUGAUGCCUAUUCACAAGGCGAAGUGUUCUGUCAAUAAGAUUAUGAUCAGAUCAUGCAAUAUACUUUAUAUGCAGUGACAUCACUCAGUAGACUACUACAUUAUUAAGAUUCUGAUAAGGUAUACUGUUUGUUAAUUAGUACUACAACAAUAACUUUGUAAGAGCUAAAAUUUUUAAUAUCUGAGCCAACAACAGAAAGACAAUUCUUUAUAUUAGUUGAAUCAUCAAAUUGUAUGUGUAAUGACUAACGUUGGGUGUUUUAUGUAAUGUAAAUCAUAUCUAUCAUUCUUGGCACGACUUUGGUAUUAUUUCAUGGCAUAGUACUAUAACAUUAUCAUUAGUUUUUGCGCAUAUAUUAUAUGAUAUUGUUACUUUAAAAAUGUAACACAGAUGGUAGAGAAAAUCACACAGAGCAAAGCAACAUAGACUUAAAAAAACAUCUAUCAUGGACUUCAAAGAAAAGGAAACAUCAGCCAAGGCGCAGCAGACGCUAACGUUAGAUGAUGCUCGGGUACAUGAACACCCUGACCUUGCGGCCCUACACACAACGCAAAAACGACAAAUAGCCUCAACAAAAAUCAACAGCAAGUAAGCAAGCACCGCACUGAAAACCAAGGGCGGCAACUCACCAUGGACUUGGCGGGGAGGUUGGACUUCAACUAGGCGCGGACGACGCCGGAGUUGACUGAUAAGUUGACUGAGGAAGAAGAGGCCCCGCUUAACAAUUCCCUUUGCACUAAAUGAAAGAAGCAAACCUAAAAGGCUAUAAUUAAGGCCUAAAAUUGCAGUGCAAGGCAGGUCUGAAGCAGCCCACGACGAGUAUGUAGUUAAAAACUUCAAAUCAAUCUCGCAUGCAUUUGUAUUGCUUGUCGUCAGUUCCUAAACACCUAGACUAUCAUCCGAAUCCAAGUGUUCAGUUGGAUGCUAAAUAAAUCCGAGAAACUUAUACUGGUCGUUUAGCAAACAAAAAUGCCACUACGAAAUAGGAGAGGAAGCAUGCAUCAUCACCUAGGCGGCUGGGGCGUCACGGCGUCAUGCGCAGUGACGGAGGUGGAGCCGCCGGGCGGCCGGGGGAGGGCUCCAUGCAGGUCAUCUGGACGACGGCGCUGUCGUCGGACCCCCACGGGACGGUACCUGCGUCCAACGGGCGGCGCCGGCAUCGGCAGCCCCUCCUCCGCGGCCUCGAUCUCCCCGUUCUCCAUCGCGGCUCGCUGCAUCACACGUAAUCUUGCCGCCGUACCAGGCCACGUCCUCCCUGGUGUUCACCCCCUCGAUCUGCACCAGCGACGCCGUCUCGUACUGGUUCGUGUUGGACCUGCGCGUCGCCAAACCAAACCCACGGAUUCAGAGACACGCGCGAGGGGGGAAGAACGAAACCGCGAUGGCGGAGGGAGCUGCUCACCUCUUGUAUCCUAAGAUGGUGCCGCACACGUAGAGCCUCACGCGCUGGCCGGUGCAUCCCUUCACCAUCUUACUGCGGCGGCGGCGCUGGGGAGGAGGGGUGGGGUGAGGGGGGAGAAGGCCGACGCAAUCAGGAAGCAGAGAGAAAACCCUAGCAGGCGGCGCUCGUGGUGGCUUAUGUAUCCCUCUGUGUGGAAGUGGAUGGUAGGGAUUUGUUGGUGAGGGUUUGUAUGGACGGCGGUGAUUUGCUUUUGGGGGAGAUUGCGGAGCUGAGGUGGGCGGGCCUGUUAUUGUAGGUGGGUCGCUAACAGUUUAGCGAAUUUGGAUGGGUUGAUCGAAGUCCGAGUUCAGGGCGUAAGCGGUGCCAAGAAAUGAAUACGCUUCCAUUCAUGUCUUCUCAAUGUCCUGUUUUAAUUGACCUGCUUAUAGUUCUAAAAGAAUAUCUGAUUAUAUGGGGUAUAUAUUUAUUGCAAAAUCGAUUUGUACUUGAUUGAUUUAACAAUAAUGCAUACACAAUCCAAACUUCUUAAGUUAUUGUUUUUAUUUAAUGCAUAUAGUAGUAGAAUUUCUACAAAAAGGAAGGUUUGCACGAACAAAUGAAUUAGUGAAAUUGGUAUUACCAUUAAGAAGAAGAAAAAUGAGAUGAAAAAUAAAACAGAAAAAAUAAGCUUCUCGAGGAAAAAUGAACUAGUGACAUUGCUAUUAGCCUUUUUAAAAAGGAAAUCAAAAUAAUGACAAAAAUUAAACAAAUUUACAUAUAAAUUGCGCUUUUUAUAAUAUACAAAAAUAAGUAUACAAUCGUAUAAAUUUCGCAAAAUAUGAAGUUUUGUAAAAGAAUUAAUUAGUGGCAAAAAUGCAGCUCAUUAGGAGAUGCCUAGCUAGUACUUCCUUCACAAAGAUUCUAGGUGAACAGAACUUUGGAAUUUUGCUACGAACGAUUUAAUUGGCAAAUAGAGCUAAUUUUUUUCAUCAGACAGUGAUUUGGGCAGGAAAGAGUGCCAAAAAUAUUGAGGGCAAUCAAGAAAUUAUAAAUUCUGACCUGUCAACAUACUCAUACUUUGUGGCCUUGUCGACACCUAUACAAGACACGUACGCGAAAUUGUCGAGUUGUCUGCCCAGUCACUUCAAUUUAAGCCUAUGACCUUAUUAAUUUUGUCAAGGAGGACCUACAAUACGGACAUAAACAGAGCUACACAUGCCAAUGACCAUUUUGUGCAAUGGGCUUAUGACCUUCUUGAUAGAGAUGGUCAAAAAUUUAUAGGGUUUGGAACUUCUUAGACACCUCAUGACCUUUUUGUAAAUUUUAGUCAUAGAUCUAUGACCAAUUCGACCCGUCAUUAUUUUUUGUCAUAAACGAGCGUAUUUCUUGUAGUGAAAGGGGAGUAAAAGAUAACAUGCGGAUGGCAUGCACUUUGAAGUUCAUAGCAAAUAUCUUUUGUCCCAUUCAUGGCAUUUUUCGAAGGAUUCACCCACGGCAACUCGCCUAGAUGGUUAAUUUACUAUAUCUGAAGUGGUUGUCAUGUGACAGUUUUCUGUUGAAAUUAAACAGUGGCAACUGUAUGGAUAGUGAGUGUGCGUUGACGUGGAUGGAGUGAAUUGGACCAGAGAUAAAAAUGGCUUGUGCGGUGCAUUCACUCUAGCGUCUUUGCUUUUAUUCAGCCAACUGUGAAGAUAUCAGUUCAAUCGCUUUCUUGUUUUCCUUUUGUGUGUUGACGUGGUGCAUGUGCUGGUUACACCGAAAGGUUGGUCCUCUCCUAGCUGAUGUCCAUCAAAGAGGGAUAAUUUCAUCGUCCUUUUUUUUAAAAGGGGAAUAUAAUAAUAUCGAAAAGAUAUCGAUUACACCCAACUUCUGCAUCAACGAGAUGUCGAAAGACAAUCAGGAUGCACACAGCCAAAAACGAAAUAAAAAAGAGAGAAAUAUAAAACAAAGACCACGUCGUAGUGAUCAAACACUCGCAGCAGCAACACCCUAACCACCACCGAAGACAACACUUGGACCGCAAAAGAGAUUCUUCAUAAGUGACGCCGUCAAGAAGGAAACAAUGCACAAGCAUUGUCGUCGCCCCGAUCAAGGAUCUUGAGUUUUCACCCUAAAAAAAAGUCUGAGAUCCCUAAAACAAUGUCUUCAGCAAGGCCAUUGCCAGGUACAACCAAUAAAGGUCAGACCUUGGACUUUCACCGUGGAAAUCAUGACUCGGUACUUGAGAAGCACCACCAAAAUUGCUUUCCACCAGUAUUGCCACCCCCUCCUGCCAAGGCCGCUGUUGCAAGUACUCGACACCCGACACCUAGGAAAAACAUGUGUUGCAAGUCUUCAUCGUUGUCAAAACUCCUUUCCGCCAUUACAAGCUUCCAAUCACAACCACCUUCACUUUCUUCAACAUUGUCCAUGCAUGGAAAUCUAUAUUUAGACAUGUCCCAUCGCACUGGAAAGAUAGCAAAGCUUCGCGCCACGCCCUUAUAAAACCUAGCAACAAUGAGUCACGAAAUGACAUCAAAUGUACUUGAAGUUGGUUUGAAUCAAGCUUUUCAUUCUAUUAUUUGAAAUAUCUACCAGGAAUGUCUGCAACGUGCCACCAUGUGGAUGUUUCUUGGCAUCGAUUCAACAACAUGGACCUAGCAACAAUGAGUCACGGUAGCAAACUGGUUCCGGAGAGAAUUAGUGUAAUGCAUUUCUAUUUUUCUGCAGUUGUUCACAGAUCUAUUUCUCUCCUCUUAAUUGUGAAUAACAUGCCAAAUUCGCCUUUAAUAGUAGAUAU